UAGGGAAUCUUCCACAAUGGACGCAAGUCUGAUGGAGCAACGCCGCGUGAGUGAAGAAGGCUUUCGGGUCGUAAAACUCUGUUAUUGAAGAAGAACGUGCGUGACAGUAACUGGUCAUGCAGUGACGGUAUUCAAUCAGAAAGUCACGGCUAACUACGUGCCAGCAGCCGCGGUAAUACGUAGGUGGCAAGCGUUGUCCGGAUUUAUUGGGCGUAAAGCGAGUGCAGGCGGUCUUUAAGUCUG
rnacentral:rRNA from 1 species